ACCAAAAUUUCAUCCAUUUCAAACCUAAUUCCUGAUCUCUCUCCUCUAAACUCUCUGAUCCCUUUCUCUCUCCUCCUAACCGGAGUUGUUCUCUCUCCUCCGUCCGCCUCUUGGCCAAAGCCUAACACCGGCCAAAGCCUCCUCGCUGUUUCAAUGCUCCACCGCCAUCAACUCCUCACCUUUCCAGAAGAAGAACAAGGAACACCGGUCGUGCCGUCGUUGUCGCCAUCACGUUUCCUCUUUGCCGCUUGUUGCGACCGCUGUCGCCGAUGUUUCUUUAGUGUUCGUUCGGUGGUUCAAACCAAGGAUUUCGGCGUCGCCGAUUCGUUUGAGCAGCGGCGUCGCCAAUUCGUUUGAGCAUCGGUGGAGUAGUCGAUGGUGGCGAGUUGUCCCCCGAAGGAAAAGCCUCAAAGAACUCAGUAUUGUUCACUUGGAUGUUGUUGGCUGUUGUAGGCUAGUUAUGUGAACUGAUGAAGAAUUGGACCGACUGGUGGCUGCGACACGCAGAGAGGCAGCUUCUGAAGCACCGCAAGGUUUGUGUGGUGACGCUAGGCUUGCGCCAUUAGGCUUGCUGUGCUGGUUGGCAAAAUGCAAAGAAUUGUAAUUUAGUUUCCAAUAUGUAUUGUAGAUGUAAAUAAUUUUUUUCAUUAGUCUAAGAAUAAUUUCAUUUUAGUUACAUUUUUGUUAUAUUUAGUUACAAUUUUAUGAGUUUUAGUUAAAAUUAAUUUUGUGGUAGUUAAAAAUUAUUUAAGUUUUAGUUAAUAUUUUUUAAGUUUUAGUUAUGAUUUUCUUGGUUUUAGUUAAGUUUUUUUUAGCUUUAGUUACGUAUUUGUAAGUUUUCAAUUCAGUGCUUUAGUUACGACAUUUCGAGUUUUAGUUAUGA